rnacentral:lncRNA from 1 species
UCCAGGAAGAUGAAGAUUUCAUCUGUUUUGUUCACUAUGGAUGUAUUCAAAACUCCUUGCAAAUAUUAGACACUCCAUAAGUGUUAAGUAAAUGAAGAAAGGAAGGAAGGAAUGAUUGAUACUAGGAAAUGAACAGCAGGGUGGGGUAAGGUAUAAGCUCAAAUGUAAGUUGGUAGAAGUGAUGUCACCUGACCUCAAGACUCCUUAGAAAGCUAAAGUAUUAGAUACAGUGUGGUAUUGACAUAAGAACAGAUGAAAAGAUCAGUGGGGUAUACAAAGGCCAAAGUGAUCCAUGUUAAUAGAGUCAAUUGACUUUGAACAGACACAUGAAAGCAAGUCAAUGAGUAAAGUCUUUUAAACAAUUGGUGCUAUAACAACUGAAUAAAGGAGAGAGAAAAAAAUUUCCAUCUUCUUCUACAUACCAUAUACAGAAAUUAACUUAAGAGGGAUCUUAGACCUAAACAUAAAAGCUAAAACUAUAAAGAUUUUAGAAGAAAGCAAGAAAAAAUAUCUUGGUGGCUUGGGAUAAGCAGAUAUUUUUUAAGUAGGCUUAGAAAUUGAUAACCACAAAAGUAAAAACUGUCCAAGAUAAAAAAAUAGGGACUGGAUUUACUCUCCUACCUGAACAAACAACAACACAAACCAGACAGAAGAUAUAAAACAAGGGUGUUUGGCUAGCAGACCUCAGGAAGCACAGCACAACUGGGGUUGCUUGGCCUUACUUCCUGUACAGGNNNNNNNNNNNNNNNNNNNNNN